rnacentral:rRNA from 1 species
UACGAGGGGGGCAAGCGUUGUUCGGAAUUAUUGGGCGUAAAGGGUGCGUAGGCGGCGCGGUAUGUCUCUUGUGAAAUCUCCAGGCUCAACUUGGAGUCUGCAAGGGAAACUGCCGUGCUUGAGUACUGGAGAGGUGAGUGGAAUUCCCGGUGUAGCGGUGAAAUGCGUAGAUAUCGGGGAGGAACACCCUGUGGCGAAAGCGGCUCACUGGACAGUAACUGACGC